GAACGCUAGCUACAGGCUUAACACAUGCAAGUCGAGGGGCANCGGGAUUGAAGCUUGCUUCAAUUGCCGGCGACCGGCGCACGGGUGAGUAACGCGUAUCCAACCUUCCGUACACUCAGGGAUAGCCUUUCGAAAGAAAGAUUAAUACCUGAUGGUAUGAUGAGAUUGCAUGAUAGCAUCAUUAAAGAUUUAUCGGUGAUGGAUGGGGAUGCGUCUGAUUAGCUUGUUGCGGGGUAACGGCCCACCAAGGCGACGAUCAGUAGGGGUUCUGAGAGGAAGGUCCCCCACAUUGGAACUGAGACACGGUCCAAACUCCUACGGGAGGCAGCAGUGAGGAAUAUUGGUCAAUGGACGAGAGUCUGAACCAGCCAAGUAGCGUGCAGGAUGACGGCCCUAUGGGUUGUAAACUGCUUUUAUAAGGGAAUAAAGUGAGUCUCGUGAGACUUUUUGCAUGUACCUUAUGAAUAAGGACCGGCUAAUUCCGUG
rnacentral:rRNA from 1 species